rnacentral:rRNA from 1 species
GGGUUGUGAGGUUAAGCGAAUAAGCGUACACGGUGGAUGCCUAGGCAAUCAGAGGCGAUGAAGGACGUGCUAAUCUGCGAAAAGCGUCGGUAAGGUGAUAUGAACCGUUAUACCCGACGAUAUCCGAAUGGGGAAACCCAGUAUCCAAUGGAUACUAUCAUUAACUGAAUCCAUAGGUUAAUGAGGCGAACCGGGAGAACUGAAACAUCUCAGUACCCCGAGGAAAAGAAAUCAACCGAGAUUCCCCUAGUAGCGGCGAGCGAACGGGGAGCAGCCCAGAGUCUUAAUCAAUAACAGUGUCAGGAGAACGGUCUGGAAAGUCCGGCAGUAAAGGGUGAUAGCCCCGUAUCUGAAGAUGCUGUUAUUGUGAACUCGACGAGUAGGGCGGGACACGUGUUAUCCUGUCUGAAUAUGGGGGGACCAUCCUCCAAGGCUAAAUACUCCUGAUUGACCGAUAGUGAACCAGUACCGUGAGGGAAAGGCGAAAAGAACCCCGGCGAGGGGAGUGAAAAAGAACCUGAAACCGUGUACGUACAAGCAGUAGGAGCCUCUUUAUGGGGUGACUGCGUACCUUUUGUAUAAUGGGUCAGCGACUUAUAUUCUGUAGCAAGGUUAACCGUAUAGGGGAGCCGUAGGGAAACCGAGUCUUAACUGGGCGAAUGAGUUGCAGGGUAUAGACCCGAAACCCGGUGAUCUAUCCAUGGGCAGGUUGAAGGUUGGGUAACACUAACUGGAGGACCGAACCGACUAAUGUUGAAAAAUUAGCGGAUGACUUGUGGAUGGGGGUGAAAGGCCAAUCAAACCGGGAGAUAGCUGGUUCUCCCCGAAAGCUAUUUAGGUAGCGCCUCGUGAAUUCAUCUUCGGGGUAGAGCACUGUUUCGACUAGGGGGUCAUCCCGACUUACCAACUCGAUGCAAACUGCGAAUACCGAAGAAUGUUAUCACGGGAGACACACGGCGGGUGCUAACGUCCGUCGUGAAGAGGGAAACAACCCAGACCGCCAGCUAAGGUCCCAAAGUCAUGGUUAAGUGGGAAACGAAGUGGGAAGGCUCAGACAGCCAGGAUGUUGGCUUAGAAGCAGCCAUCAUUUAAAGAAAGCGUAAUAGCUCACUGGUCGAGUCGGCCCGCGCGGAAGAUGUAACGGGGCUAAACCAUGCACCGAAGCUGCGGCAGCGACACAAAGUGUUGUUGGGUAGGGGAGCGUUCUGUAAGCCUGCGAAGGUGUACUGUGAGGUAUGCUGGAGGUAUCAGAAGUGCGAAUGCUGACAUAAGUAACGAUAAUGCGGGUGAAAAACCCGCACGCCGGAAGACCAAGGGUUCCUGUCCAACGUUAAUCGGGGCAGGGUGAGUCGACCCCUAAGGCGAGGCUGAAAAGCGUAGUCGAUGGGAAACGGGUUAAUAUUCCCGUACUGGUGGUAACUGCGAUGGGGGAACGGAGAAGGCUAGGUUGUCCGGGCGACGGUCGUCCCGGUUCAAGCAGGUAGGCAGAGUGAUUAGGCAAAUCCGGUCACUUAAUGCUGAGAUGUGAUGACGAACCACUAAGGUGGUGAAGCAAUUGAUGCCCCGCUUCCAGGAAAAGCCUCUAAGCUUCAGGUUACCAACAAUCGUACCCCAAACCGACACAGGUGGUCAGGUAGAGAAUACUCAGGCGCUUGAGAGAACUCGGGUGAAGGAACUAGGCAAAAUGGUGCCGUAACUUCGGGAGAAGGCACGCUGGCGGUAGGUAAAGUCCCUCGCGGACGGCGCCCAAGCCAGUCGAAGAUACCAGCUGGCUGCAACUGUUUAUUAAAAACACAGCACUGUGCAAACACGAAAGUGGACGUAUACGGUGUGACGCCUGCCCGGUGCUGGAAGGUUAAUUGAUGGGGUUAGCGCAAGCGAAGCUCCUGAUCGAAGCCCCAGUAAACGGCGGCCGUAACUAUAACGGUCCUAAGGUAGCGAAAUUCCUUGUCGGGUAAGUUCCGACCUGCACGAAUGGCGUAAUGAUGGCCAGGCUGUCUCCACCCGAGACUCAGUGAAAUUGAACUCGCUGUGAAGAUGCAGUGUACCCGCGGCAAGACGGAAAGACCCCGUGAACCUUUACUAUAGCUUGACACUGAACAUUGAGCCUUGAUGUGUAGGAUAGGUGGGAGGCUUUGAAGUGUGGACGCCAGUCUGCAUGGAGCCAACCUUGAAAUACCACCCUUUAACGUUUGAUGUUCUAACCUAGGCCCAUAAACUGGGUCGGGGACCGUGUCUGGUGGGUAGUUUGACUGGGGCGGUCUCCUCCUAAAGAGUAACGGAGGAGCACGAAGGUUGGCUAAGCAUGGUCGGACAUCAUGCGGUUAGUGCAAAGGCAUAAGCCAGCUUGACUGCGAGAGUGACGGCUCGAGCAGGUACGAAAGUAGGUCUUAGUGAUCCGGUGGUUCUGAAUGGAAGGGCCAUCGCUCAACGGAUAAAAGGUACUCCGGGGAUAACAGGCUGAUACCGCCCAAGAGUUCAUAUCGACGGCGGUGUUUGGCACCUCGAUGUCGGCUCAUCACAUCCUGGGGCUGAAGUAGGUCCCAAGGGUAUGGCUGUUCGCCAUUUAAAGUGGUACGCGAGCUGGGUUUAGAACGUCGUGAGACAGUUCGGUCCCUAUCUGCCGUGGGCGUUGGAAGAUUGAGAGGGGUUGCUCCUAGUACGAGAGGACCGGAGUGAACGCACCACUGGUGUUCGGGUUGUCAUGCCAAUGGCAUUGCCCGGUAGCUAAGUGCGGAAGAGAUAACCGCUGAAAGCAUCUAAGCGGGAAACUUGCCUCGAGAUGAGUCUUCCCUGUCGCUUUAAGCGACCUAAAGGAACGUUUAAGACUAAGACGUUGAUAGGCUGGGUGUGUAAGCGUAGCGAUACGUUGAGCUAACCAGUACUAAUGAACCGUGAGGCUUAACCUGACAACACCGAAAGUGUUUUG